GAUGAACGCUAGCGGGAGGCUUCACACAUGCAAGUCGGACGGUAACGGGCCCCUUCGGGGUGCUGACGAGUGGCGGACGGGUGCGUAACGCGUAUGCAACCUGCCUUAUACAGGGGUAUAGCCCAUGGAAACGUGGAUUAACACCCCAUAGCAUCAACGGAUCGCAUGGUUUGUUGAUUAAAAUUUCGGUGGUAUAAGAUGGGCAUGCGUAGGAUUAGCUAGUAGGUAGUGUAACGGACUACCCAGGCGACGAUCCUUAGGGGUUCUGAGAGGAUUACCCCCCACACUGGGACUGAGACACGGCCCAGACUCCUACGGGAGGCAGCAGUGAGGAGUAUUGGUCAAUGGACGCAAGUCUGAACCAGCCAUCCCGCGUGCAGGAUGACGGCCCUACGGGUUGUAAACUGCUUUUCUACGCCAAGAAACCUGUCAACGUGUUGACAGCUGACGGUAGCGUAGGAAUAAGCAUCGGCUAACUCCGUGCCAGCAGCCGCGGUAAUACGGAGGAUGCAAGCGUUAUCCGGAUUCAUUGGGUUUAAAGGGUGCGCAGGCGGGCUUGUAGGUCAGUGGUGAAAUACUGCCGCUUAACGGUAGAACUGCCAUUGAUACUGCAAGUC
rnacentral:rRNA from 1 species